rnacentral:misc_RNA from 1 species
AAGUUAACCAUGGAGUUUCGAUGAAAGCCCGUUGCGAUUGUUUGUUCCAAGGUGGCAUUCGGGAGGAGGUCUCCGGCAAGCUGCUCGAUGGUAAACUGAUCGAAGGGCAUAUCUUGGUUUAAAGCUUUGAUAACCCAGUCGCGGUAGUGCCACAUGAAUCGAGGAACGUCACUCGAGUAACCUCCGGUAUCGGCGUAGCGCGCGGCAUCCAGCCAAUGCUUUCCCCAGCGCUCGCCGUAGUGGGGCGAAUCCAUUAGGCGACUCACCAAUCGGUCGUAGGCGUCAGG